AACCCGUGGUUAGGACAUUUUUUAAGCAAUGACUUAAAUCUCUCCCAGACUUCACAAAGGGUUCAUUUGCACCUUGCCUGAAAGUUGUGAUUUCUUAUUUGGCCU
rfam:Cajanus cajan Scaffold127005_12, whole genome shotgun sequence.